rnacentral:tRNA from 5 species
GGGCCUGUAGUUCAGUUGGAAGAAUGCCUCGUUUGCAACGAGGAGGUCAGCGGUUCGAACCCGCUCGGGUCCACCU